CUGUGUCAGCACGCCCACACCAGGCCACAACAAUGGCUGCCACCAAUGUCCCAGUCCCUGGAGAGGUCUCACCCCUCACCGAGAUGCACUCAGGGCCUAUUAGAAAUUUGAAUUUGAAACUGCCAACAGAGCCACUGGCUGACCUGCUCUUGACAGCUGAUUUUCAGGGUCUCCCUCCUUUCCAGUCAGCGACCACUCCUCCCUUCGCCAGCAUUUUGGCUUAAGAUUGUGUACUCUCUCCAUCCUGAUUGAGAUCUUUGUUGGUCUUAUGGAAAGAGAAGAGGAAAAAAAGAAGUACUUUGAUAAUCAGUACUGUUACCAGUGAGCUGAACCAUAAGUAGUAUGAUCAGAGUAUCUCUUCUUAGAAAAUAAGUAAUAAGUAAACAGCUAGAAUCUUGUUCAGGGUAACUGAGAUAAGAAAAAUGAUUUGACAACCAUUAACAAAGUGUAUUCCGUGAGAUAUUAGUAGGUGUUACGUAAAACAAUAUUUUUUUUGUGGUGGUGGUGGUUUGGACAACAUUGGGUUAAAUUGCUUAUUUACUGCAUUACUUAUCAUGGCCCUUAAUAUUCUAAUGCUCAUUGAGAGUUCUCAAAUUUGUAUGAAAUCAAGAACAUUUUUCCCCCUGGAGCAUCUUGCCAGACCAGUCUUCUGUGGAACCCAUUUGGGAAGGGCUAGAUUAGUGGCCUAUUGUCAUGUUGAGGAUUUUAAAUUAAUGAGUGAUAUGGGAAACAGUUCUUACAUUUUUGAGGAAGACACCAUGGAGGGCCAUCACUCAGUCUUAAAAAUUUUACUUUUGUGUCUCUGUCAGGGAUGUUUUUUGUAUGUCUGGGUUAUGGGACAGGCUAAAGGGUGAAUGUCCUGUUGAGACAUUCUCAGUUGCUGCCCUGGCAGGGAGUCUUUGUCUCUGCUCCCCUUUUACUUGCUGAUGCUGUGUUUUGUUUUUUCCUGAGGGGAGAACGUGCAGUGAAGAGUGGAGUGAUGGUAACAACUUUGUUGUUCUUUGCCAGAUACAGUCAUGCGCUGCAUGAUGAUGUUUUGAUCAAUGAUGGACCGCAUAUACGACAGUGGUCCCAAAAGAUCAUAAUGGAGCUGAAAAUUCCGAUCAUCUAGUGACAUCAAAGCCACUGUAAUAUCAUAGUACAAUGUGUUACUCACAUGUUUGUGGUGAUGCUGGUGUAAACAUACCUACUGCACUGCCAGUUGUAUAAAAGUAUAGAAGAUAUAAUUAUAUACCGUACAUAAUACGUGAUAAUGAUAAUAAAUGACUAUGUUACUGGUUUAGGUAUUAUACUAUACUUUUUAUCAUUAUUUCAGAGUA